rnacentral:rRNA from 1 species
GACGAACGCUGGCGGCGUGCUUAACACAUGCAAGUCGAACGGAAAGGCCCUGCUUUUGUGGGGUGCUCGAGUGGCGAACGGGUGAGUAACACGUGAGUAACCUGCCCUUGACUUUGGGAUAACUUCAGGAAACUGGGGCUAAUACCGGAUAGGAGCUCCUGCUGCAUGGUGGGGGUUGGAAAGUUUCGGCGGUUGGGGAUGGACUCGCGGCUUAUCAGCUUGUUGGUGGGGUAGUGGCUUACCAAGGCUUUGACGGGUAGCCGGCCUGAGAGGGUGACCGGCCACAUUGGGACUGAGAUACGGCCCAGACUCCUACGGGAGGCAGCAGUGUGGAAUAUUGCACAAUGGGCGGAAGCCUGAUGCAGCAACGCCGCGUGCGGGAUGACGGCCUUCGGGUUGUAAACCGCCUUCGCCUGUGACGAAGCGUGAGUGACGGUAAUGGGUAAAGAAGCACCGGCUAACUACGUG